AGAGUUUGAUCCUUGCUCAGGAUAAACGCUAGCGGAGGGCAUAACACAUGCAAGUCGAGGGGCAUCAAAAAAAAUAUAAGUUUACUUAUGUUUUUUGUUUGGCAACCGGCGUACGGGUGAGUAAUACAUACGUAACUUUCCUUAUGCUGAAGGAUAGCCCAAGGAAACUUGGAUGAAUACUUCAUAAGACCAUUUUUUAUUAAUAAAUUUGGUGAAAGUUAUUAUGGCAUAAGAUAGGCGUUUGUCCGAUUAGUUAGUUGGUAAGGUAAUGGCUUACCAAGGCAAUUAUCGGUAGGGGGCCUGAUAGGGCGUACCCCCACAUUGGUACUGAGACACGGACCAAACUUCUACGGAAGGCAGCAGUGAGGAAUAUUGGUCAAUGGAGGCAACUCUGAACCAGCCACUCCGCGUGUAGGAUGAAGGCCAUUUAGGUUGUAAACUACUUUUGUAUAUGAAUAAAAAAUUCUAUUUUUAGAAAAAAUUGAAGGUAAUAUACGAAUAAGUAUCGGCCAACUCUGUGCCAGCAGCCGCGGUAAAACAGAGGAUACAAGCGUUAUCCGGAUUUAUUGGGUUUAAAGGGUGCGUAGGUGGUUUUUUAAGUCAGUAGUUAAAUCUUAAAGCUUAACUUUAAAAGUGCUAUUGAUACUGAUAAACUAGAGUGAUGUUGGAGUAACUGGAAUGUGUGGUGGAGCGGUGAAAUGCAUAGAGAUCACACAGAACACCAAUCGCGAAAGCAGGUUACUAAACAUAGUAAACAUAGACUGACACUGAGGCACGAAAGCAUGGGUAGCAAACAGGAUUAGAUACCCUGGUAGUCCAUGCCGUAAACGAUGAUCACUAACUAUUGGAGAAUAAUUCAGUGGUCAAGCGAAAGUGAUAAGUGAUCCACCUGAGUAGUACGACCGCAAGGUUGAAACUCAAAGGAAUUGACGGGGGCCCGCACAAGCGGUGGAGCACGUGGUUUAAUUCGAUGAUACGCGAGGAACCUUACCAAAACUUAAAUGUAUUACGAAUAAGUUGGAAACAAUUUAGUCAUUAGACGGAGUACAAGGUGCUGCAUGGUUGUCGUCAGCUCGUGCCGUGAGGUGUGAGGUUAAGUCCUUUAACGAGCGCAACCCUUAUUAUUAGUUACCAUCAAGUAAUGUUGGGGACUCUAAUAAGACUGCCGGCGUAAGCCGAGAGGAAGGCGGGGACGACGUCAAAUCAUCACGGCCCUUAUGUUUUGGGCCACACACGUGCUACAAUGGUAGGUACAAAAGGCAGCAACUGGGUGACCAGAAGCAAAUCUUUAAAGCCUAUCUCAGUUCGGAUUGGAGUCUGCAACUCGACUCUAUGAAGCUGGAAUCGCUAGUAAUCGUGCAUCAGCCAUGGCACGGUGAAUAUGUUCCCGGGCCUUGUACACACCGCCCGUCAAGCCAUGGAAGUUGGAAGUACCUAAAAUCGGUGACCUCGAAGGAAACUGCCUAAGGUAAGUCUAAUAACUAGGGCUAAGUCGUAACAAGGUAGCCGUACCGGAAGGUGCGGCUG
rnacentral:rRNA from 1 species